rnacentral:rRNA from 1 species
GAUGAACGCUAGCGGCAGGCUUAACACAUGCAAGUCGAGGGGCAGCAUGAGGGUUAGCAAUAACCCUUGAUGGCGACCGGCGCAAGGGUGCGUAACGCGUGAGCAACUUGCCCGUUUCAGGGGGAUAACCGGUGGAAACGCCGACUAAUACCCCAUAGUAUUGAUUUAAGGCAUCUUUUAUCGAAUUAAAGAAUUUCGGAAACGGAUAGGCUCGCGUGACAUUAGCUGGAUGGCGGGUAACGGCCCACCGAUGGCGACCGAUGUCUAGGGGUUCUGUAGAGGAAGGUCCCCCCACACUGGAACUGAGACACGGUCCAGACUCCUACGGGAGGCAGCAGUGAGGAAUAUGGUCAAUGGUCGAGAGACUGAACCAGCCAUGCCGCGUGAAGGUCACGGCCCUAUGGGU